CCAGGAAUACUUAGUACGGCGAGUGAGCGGUAAAAGCUCAAAUUUGAAAUCUGGUACUUUCAGUGCCCGAGUUGUAAUUUGUAGAAUUUGUCUUUGAUUAGGUCCUUGUCUAUGUUCCUUGGAACAGGACGUCAUAGAGGGUGAGAAUCCCGUUUGGCGAGGAUACCUUUUCUCUGUAAGACUUUUUCGAAGAGUCGAGUUGUUUGGGAAUGCAGCUCAAAGUGGGUGGUAAAUUCCAUCUAAAGCUAAAUAUUGGCGAGAGACCGAUAGCGAACAAGUACAGUGAUGGAAAGAUGAAAAGAACUUUGAAAAGAGAGUGAAAAAGUACGUGAAAUUGUUGAAAGGGAAGGGCAUUUGAUCAGACAUGGUGUUUUUUGCAUGCACUCGCCUCUCGUGGGCUUGGGCCUCUCAAAAAUUUCACUGGGCCAACAUCAAUUCUGGCAGCAGGAUAAAUCAUUAAGAAUGUAGCUACUUCGGUAGUGUUAUAGCUUUUUGGAAUACUGUUAGCCGGGAUUGAGGACUGCGCUUCGGCAAGGAUGUUGGCAUAAUGGUUAAAUGCCGCCCGUCUUGAACCAACGGGACCA
rnacentral:rRNA from 1 species